rnacentral:rRNA from 1 species
AGCUCCAAUAGCGUAUAUUAAAGCUGUUGCAGUUAAAAAGCUCGUAGUCGGAUUUCGGGCGGCGGCCAAUGGUUCGGUUCCGUGCCGAUACUGCUGGUCGCGGCCUCCACGCCGGUCGUCCUUCGGUGCUCUUAACUGAGUGCCUUAGGUAGCCGGAGCGUUUACUUUGAAAAAAUUAGAGUGUUCAAGGCAGGCCUCGAGCCUGAAUGAUGGUGCAUGGAAUAAUGGAAUAGGACCUCGGUUCUAUUUUGUUGGUCUUCGGAACUGGAGGUAAUGAUUAAUAGGGACGGACGGGGGCAUUCGUAUUGCGGCGUUAGAGGUGAAAUUCUUGGAUCGUCGCAAGACGGACUACUGCGAAAGCAUUUGCCAAGAAUGUUUUCAUUGAUCAAGAACGAAAGUA